AGCGAACGCUGGCGGCGUGCUUAACACAUGCAAGUCGAGCGAAGGUGUUUCAAGGGUAACCUUGAGAUACACUUAGCGGCGGACGGGUGAGUAAUACGUGGAUAACUUACCUCUAGGCCUGGGAUAACCCCGGGAAACUGGGGCUAAUACCUGAUAAGACCACAUUGUCUACGGACAAAGGGGUAAAAGGUGGCUGUGCAAACAGCUAUCGCCAAAAGAUAGGUUCACGUCCCAUCAGGCAGUGGUGAGGUAAUGGCUCACCAAACCAAAGACGGGUAGCCGGCCUUGGCGGGUGAACGGCCACACGGGGACUGAGACACGGCCCCGACUCCUACGGGAGGCAGCAGUGGGGAAUAUUGGGCAAUGGGCGCAAGCCUGACCCAGCGACGCCGCGUUGGGGAAGAA
rnacentral:rRNA from 1 species